rnacentral:rRNA from 1 species
CUAACCGCAAGGAGGACGGUCACCACGGUAGGAUUCAUGACUGGGGUGAAGUCGUAACAAGGUAGCCGUAUCGGAAGGUGCGGCUGGAUCACCUCCUUUC